rnacentral:tRNA from 1 species
GAGGAUAUAACUCAAGGUAGAGCACAUGCUCAGCAUGCAUGAGGUCCUGGGUUCCAUUCCCAGUACCUCU